GAGGAGGGAAAAGGAAUCGACGCUGUCACCGCUGGGGACCUAGGGUGGCCUCUCACCUUGGAGAAUAACAAUCUCUGAUGUCUGCUAAUGACAGAAAUACUUCCAGAGCUCUUUGAUUCAUCCUGACAAUGACCAGAGAAGAGACACUGACAAGACUUGAAGCAAGAAACAGAAAGUUAACAUCUCAUCUGGAGGAAGACCCUGGAAGGAGCCAGCCCCUUCCCCCAGGCUGACCUGGUUUAAGCCUUUCUUCUGCCAAGGUCACCAGCAGCCCAGAUGAGUGACAGAUGUAAUCACUGGUUUCAUGGCCUGAUCAGGGACCUCCAAGAUGGAGUCUCGAUCUGUCGCCCAGGCUGGAGUGCAAAGGUACGAUCUCGGCUCACUGCAACCUCCGCCUCCCGGGUUCAAGCGAUUAUAGGCGUGAGCCACCGCAUCCAGCCAAAUAAAUUUGGGAAAGCACGAAUGCAGUCCCCCACUAUUACAAAUUAUGCAGUCGAGUUUCCCACAUUUGGGGAAAUCGCAGGGGUCAGCACAUCCGGAGUGCAAUGGAUAAGCCUCACCCUGGGAAAACAAACCACCUUCGUGAUCAUGGUUCUCCCCUGCCAGGGAAAGCUCGAAGCUCCUCACAGCGAUCUGGCCGAAAUUGGGGGCUCCUGACUCAGCUCCUUCCCACCUAGAAAAUGUUUCAUGCAGCUGGAUGGCUCCAACACCCACAGAGCAGGAUUCAAAUAACCUGAAGACCUUGGCACAGCAGGCUUGGGGCAGCGGGGACUGGGGCCCCACUCAGACCUCUGUGGGGCAAAUGUUUUGUUUCUCAGAACAGCCCAAGUGAAAUCAAUCCUAGACACUCGCCAUUUGGUCCCACCAAGACCAUUUAAUUUCUCUGUAAAAAGUAAGCUGACACAGAAGAACCAACUGUGAAAAUGGUGAAGCGGGAGUCUGAAUCGAUUUAGCUGUUCUCAGGGGGCACAGGGUGUUGAGGGUGGUUUUCAUCUGCCACCUGCCUCCUUGAGACCCAGCUGACCUGAGUGUGUAUGAAAUAAGACCUUCUCCUUGUGUCCACCAGGCUCAGGGGCACCCCUAGGUACCCUGCUCUUCGUCACAGCGGCAGCCCUCUCGGUUCCACAUCUGGUUCUCCUGCCGAAGCCUCUGGUUCUCGGUCCGGAGCCUCUCAACCUCAGCGGCCAGCUCCUCCACCUGGCGGCAGGACUGCUGGCCCGUGCAUGCCUGCAGCUGCUGCAGCCUCCUGGUCUCCUCCUCGGCCUGCGACAGCCGCUUCUCCAGCUCCAGGUAGUCUCGCACCAGCUCCUGCUUGCUGCGGCCAUGCAGGCUCUCAGUGCGGAAGCGCUCAUAAGCCUCAGAGAAGUCCCUCUGCUGGAACUCACCGUGCACUCGGCCCCGCCCAUCACUGUCCCCGGCCUCACUCUCCCCACUGGAACCUGGGUGGGAGACCCCAGGGGGCACAUCCAAGUUGGGCUCUUCUGGGUCUCGGUCAUUCAUCAGGAACUGGGUGGUGUUGUAGGGGGCCACGGGCUGGCCUUUGGCGAACAUCUGCUCUCGGACUCGGGACGCCCUCUGGCUCUGCCUCUCAUCCCGCUGUUGUUUCUCAGCCCAGCUCAGCUCCAGGUAGGGCCGCCAGUGCCGUCUGCGCUUUGACGGCCGCCGACGGUGUUUCUUCCGGGCCAGUACUGCCUCCGCUGAGCAGCCCCCUGAGCUCUGGGUCCAGUGACUCCUACUGUUCCAGCCCAGGCCUCCAACAGCCCCAGCAAGAUCUUCAUCCUCUGAGUGGCUCUCCAUCUGGGGUGUCAGGGGCAGGGAACCACCAGAGUCAUGAGGCUCAGAGGGUGUUUGGGGGCUCCCUGGGGUACCAGAGGUCUAAAGAGAGAGAGGAGGAAGAAGGAUGGAUCAGACAGCCUGUCCCUGGAGAUGGAACCCUUCCCUCUCUACCCAGCGUGAAGCCAACCUUCCCACACUCAGCUAACUUGGUCACUCUUACUUAGCCCCUCACCCUUUUGCAACCAUUUGUUUACAAAGUUACCUGUCUACUGUCUGUCCCCCAACCUUCCCCAAGUAAACUCACGGUGACAGCAGGAA